CCGCUGUUCUACAGAUCUUGCAGCCUGAAAAUGACGUCUCAGUUCUGGAGGCCUCUCCUUAGGGGGAGCAGUUGUGUCCCUUUACGGAAAGCCAGCAUCCUCUGGGUCUGCAAACCAGGUUUCUUUAUUCCUCAUCUAUUUGGAGCAUUGAGGGCUGCCUGGUCUUGAGGGAGCAGCUGCAUCGCAAGAGGGGCUGAAGGAAUCCUGGAAGUCGCUAUGACGAGGACGGAAAAAGG